AUCCAGCUGAAGAGUCCCAAAUAGGACGAAAUGCGCAUCCUGGAU
rfam:Schistosoma curassoni strain Dakar, Senegal genome assembly, scaffold: SCTD_scaffold0011398